GACGAACGCUGGCGGCGUGCUUAACACAUGCAAGUCGAACGGAAAGGCCCUGCUUUUGUGGGGUGCUCGAGUGGCGAACGGGUGAGUAACACGUGAGUAACCUGCCCUUGACUUUGGGAUAACUUUAGGAAAAUGGGGCUAAUACCGGAUAGGAGCUCCUGAUGCAUGGUGGGGGUUGGAAAGUUUCGGCGGUUGGGGAUGGACUCGCGGCUUAUCAGCUUGUUGGUGGGGUAGUGGCUUACCAAGGCUUUGAAGGGUAGCCGGCCUGGGAGGGUGACCGGCCACAUUGGGACUGAGAGACGGCCCAGACUCCUACGGGAGGCAGCAGUGGGGAAUAUUGCACAAUGGGCGGAAGCCUGAUGCAGCAACGCCGCGUGCGGGAUGACGGCCUUCGGGUUGUAAACCGCUUUCGCCUGUGACGAAGCGUGAGUGACGGUAAUGGGUAAAGAAGCACCGGCUAACUACGUG
rnacentral:rRNA from 1 species